rnacentral:rRNA from 1 species
GUGCCAGCCGCCGCGGUAAUACCGGCAGCCCGAGUGAUGGCCGAUAUUAUUGGGCCUAAAGCGUCCGUAGCUGGCCAGACAAGUCCGUCGGGAAAUCCAGUAGCCCAACUACUGGGCGUCCGGCGGAAACUACAAGGCUUGGGACCGGAAGGCUCGAGGGGUACGUCCGGGGUAGGAGUGAAAUCCCAUAAUCCCGCACGGACCACCGAUGGCGAAAGCACUUCGAGAAAACGGAUCCGACAGUGAGGGACGAAAGCCAGGGUCUCCAACCGGAUUAGAUACCCCGGUAGUCC